rnacentral:lncRNA from 7 species
GCGUUUGUUGCCGUGCCCAUAAAGAGGCACUGCACGCUGCUACUGCUAGCUAUGGCUAGUAGUAGCUAGGCUCACCAGAGGCCUCUCCUGUUUCACCUUUAUGCGGUCCACGUGAGGAAGGAAUUAAGGGCUGUCUACACCCGAGCGAUUCAGCAACUUUACCUUCUGUUCCUUCGCUUGUAGUUGAAUUUAUGUGGUCCAUUUCUCCCAGUGUAAUGCAGUUGGCUAAGAGCCUAAGAUCUUGCCAAAACCUGUAAUAUAU